UACUACUUUAGUUACUACAUACGGACCU
rnacentral:piRNA from 1 species